rnacentral:ncRNA from 18 species
AGUUUAAUAUGCAGGUCAGGUGUCGCAAGACUCAAUAGAAAAGCCGGUAGAAGCCGGCGCGGUCCCGCCGCUGUGAGGAAGAGCGAUGCUGCAAUGAUGUCACUGUACGAUUCGUAUGGGAAGGCGCAGCAAAGCCAUGAAGCCAAGCCAGAAGAACUGCCUGACUGAUAAUCACCGAU